GGUCUUAUAUUCAUAAAAAUGAUAUUAGAAUGCAAUUCUAAUGGUGUAAAAAAUACUUAGACUU
rnacentral:tRNA from 1 species